UNUGCUGGAACUUAACUGACGCUAAUGCGUGAAAGCGUGGGGAGCAAACAGGAUUAGAUACCCUGGUAGUCCACGCCCUAAACGAUGUAUACCGGUUGUUGCUGUGCUAGUCACGGCAGUAAUCCACCUAACGGAUUAAGUAUACCGCCUGGGGAGUACGGUCGCAAGAUUAAAACUCAAAGGAAUAGACGGGGACCCGCACAAGCGGUGGAGCAUGUGGUUUAAUUCGAAGAUACGCGAAGAACCUUACCCGGACUUGAUAUCUAACAAAUCAUCCAGAGAUGGAAGAGUGUCUGCUUGCAGAAAUGUUAAGACAGGUGCUGCACGGCGGUCGUCAGCUCGUGUCGUGAGAUGUUGGGUUAAGUCCCGCAACGAGCGCAACCCACGUCAUUAGUUGCUAACGGUUCGGCCGAGCACUCUAAUGAGACUGCCUUCGUAAGGAGGAGGAAGGUGUGGACGACGUCAAGUCAUCAUGGCCCUUAUGUCCGGGGCGACACACGUGCUACAAUGGCAUAUACAAUAAGACGCAAUAUCGUAAGAUGGAGCAAAUCUAAAAAAUAUGUCCCAGUUCGGAUUGGAGUCUGCAACUCGACUCCAUGAAGCCGGAAUCGCUAGUAAUCGUAGAUCAGCCAUGCUACGGUGAAUACGUUCCCGGGUCUUGUACUCACCGCCCGUCACACCAUGGGAGUUGAUUUCACUCGAAGCGGGA
rnacentral:rRNA from 1 species